rnacentral:rRNA from 1 species
UACGAAGGGGGGCUAGCGUUGUUCGGAAUUACUGGGCGUAAAGCGCACGUAGGCGGAUAUUUAAGUCAGGGGGUGAAAUCCCAGAGCUCAACUCUGGAACUGCCUUUGAUACUGGGUAUCUCGAGUAUGGAAGAGGUGAGUGGAAUUCCGAGUGUAGAGGUGAAAAUUCGUAGAUAUUCGGAGGAACACCAGUGGCGAAGGCGGCUCACUGGUCCAUUACUGACGCUGAGGUGCGAAAGCGUGGGGAGCAAACAGG